CGAACGACGGCAAGAUACUCGACGAUCCAAAGCAGUAUCGCUCGAUCUUCAGCGCGAUUGACGGCGACACCAUGAAGGUGGCCUGGCAGGUGAUCGUCAGCGGCAAUCUAACGUCGAUGCCGACUACCAGGGCAAGUACGCCUUCUCCACCUGCUACAAUUCGGAAGAGGGCGUCACCCUCGCAGAUAUGACCGCCAAGGAGCAGGACUGGGUCACGAUCUUCAACAUCAAGCGCAUCGAAGAGGCGGUGAAGAAGGGGGACUUCAAGGAAAUCAACGGCGUGCCUGUCAUCGAUGGUCGCAAGGGCUCGCCCUAU
rnacentral:misc_RNA from 1 species